UACAUGGGGUGCAAACGUUGCUCGGAAUCAUUGGGCGUAAAGCGCACGUAGGCGGUUCGUUAUGUCGGAUGUGAAAGCCCUUGGCUUAACCGAGGAAGUGCAUCCGAAACUGGCGAGCUAGAGUACGAAAGAGGAUCGCGGAAUUCCCGGUGUAGAGGUGAAAUUCGCAGAUAUCGGGAGGAACACCGGUGGCGAAGGCGGCGAUCUGGGUCGAUACUGACGCUGAGGUGCGAAAGCGUGGGGAGCAAACAGG
rnacentral:rRNA from 1 species